rnacentral:ncRNA from 1 species
AGACAGCGCUAUCGCGCUUCCUCAGCCCGAACGGCAUCGAAGUAACGAUUCGAUAAAACCAUCUUUGCGAUUUGUU